rnacentral:rRNA from 1 species
CCUACGGGAGGCAGCAGUGGGGAAUAUUGCACAAUGGGGGGAACCCUGAUGCAGCGACGCCGCGUGAGCGAGGAAGUAUUUCGGUAUGUAAAGCUCUAUCAGCAGGGACGAAAAAAGACGGUACCUGACUUAGAAGCCCCGGCUAACUACGUGCCAGCAGCCGCGGUAAUACGUAGGGGGCAAGCGUUAUCCGGAUUUACUGGGUUUAAAGGGAGCGUAGACGGUAAGGUAAGCCAGAAGUGAAAGGGUAGGGCUCAACCCUGUACUUGCUUUUGGAACUGGGGUGCUUGAGUGCAGGAGAGGUAGGUGGAAUUCCUGGUGUAGCGGUGAAAUGCGUAGAGAUUAGGAGGAACACCGGUGGCGAAGGCGGCUUACUGGACUGUAACUGACGUUGAGGCUCGAAAGCGUGGGGAGCAAACAGGAUUAGAUACCCGAGUAGUC